GGGAAAAUCAUGGAAACAGAAGUGACAAUAACUAGAUGAUCAGUAAGCCACCAGCCCUAUCUAUUCCCAACCAAAGCCUUGACACCCGAAGACUAACCCAAGAAGAACUUAAGGAAAGAUCAACAAAGGGUUUGUACUAUGAUGAAAGGUGGAGUAUGGAGCACCGAUGUAAACAAGGGCAACAUAUGAUGAUUGAGCC
rnacentral:lncRNA from 1 species